rnacentral:lncRNA from 1 species
UUAUAUUCAAAUUUUACCUCAAAGAGUCUUGUGGGUCAUCUGGGCUGUGCUUGCACAAGAUUUUAGUGCUAUGUACAGGGAAGAAAGUGCUGUAUUUUCUGGGUUUGUAUGUUGAAGAAAGAGGACUAAUUAAGAAACUUUGCUGUAGAAUAGCUACAGACAUUUUUUUUUUGCACUUCAAAUGGAAGCUCAAGACUCAAGAGCUCAGAAAUGAAGUUUUGUGACUGAGUCAAUGGCUGUGGUGAUAUUUGCAAAAGGUUCAUCCAGUUGAUGACUGUCAAGUGUCCACGUGGGGAUGCAAUAGUGGCUGAUGUUGGAACAUUCAAG